rnacentral:rRNA from 1 species
UACGUAGGGUGCAAGCGUUGUCCGGAAUUAUUGGGCGUAAAGAGCUCGUAGGCGGUUCGAUAAGUCGGACGUGAAAUCUCCACGCUCAACGUGGAGGGGCCGUUCGAUACUGUCGUGACUCGAGUCCGGUAGGGGAGUGUGGAAUUCCCAGUGUAGAGGUGAAAUUCGUAGAUAUUGGGAAGAACACCAGUGGCGAAGGCGGCUAACUGGUCCGGUACUGACGCUGAGGUGCGAAAGCGUGGGAGCAACAGG